CUAUAUCCACUUACACCUGUGAACUGUUCUACUACUUGACGCAAGUCGAGUAUUUUUACAAACAAUGUGUAAUGAACGUCGUUUUAUUAUAACAAAAUAAAACUUUCAACAACGGAUCUCUUGGCUCUCGCAUCGAUGAAGAACGCAGCGAAUUGCGAUAAGUAAUGUGAAUUGCAGAAUUCAGUGAAUCAUCGAAUCUUUGAACGCAGCUUGCGCUCUCUGGUAUUCCGGAGAGCAUGCCUGUUUCAGUGUCAUGAAAUCUCAACCACUAGGGUUUCCUAAUGGAUUGGAUUUGGGCGUCUGCGAUCUCUGAUCGCUCGCCUUAAAAGAGUUAGCAAGUUUGACAUUAAUGUCUGGUGUAAUAAGUUUCACUGGGUCCAUUGUGUUGAAGCGUGCUUCUAAUCGUCCGCAAGGACAAUUACUUUGACUCUGGCCUGAAAUCAGGUAGGACUACCCGCUGAACUUAAGCAUAUCAA
rnacentral:rRNA from 1 species